AAAAAAAAAAAAAGCGCAGCUAUCUCCUUCUCCGAACAAAAUUGCAGUAGCUUUCUCCACCAUUGUUUCAUCCAUAAAAGCUCCACCAAACCACCAAAAUAAGCAAAUGUAAAAGAACACCUUCUUCCCCUGUUAAACACUAUCCCUCCUCCACCAAAACACCACUGUUUUCUCCCAAAAACGACCUCAAAUCAGCCCCCAAAACCAGCUCCCUUCCACCUUAAAAGAACCCCCAAAACGCAGCAAAACCAGCUGCGAAAUCAGACCAAAAUCGAGCUGAAAAGGGGACCAAAAUCCAGCCCAAAGAGCAGCAAAACCAGCUGCGAAACUGCUGAAAAACAGCCCCAAAACUCAGCAAAAUCAGCCACAAAAAUCAACCAAAAACAGCCCCAAAAACCAGCUAUAAACCAACCCGAAAAUACCACAAGAAAGAACCACAAACGGGCAUAAUCUAUUUUUCUGUUCUUCGCUAGCUCGAUCGUUCGCGAUUCCUUUUGGGUUUGGCGUGUUAGCUUUCGUUUGAGGUCGCCGUCAUUGGUUUUCAGGCGUGGUCCUUAUCCUCGGCUCGAUUAUUGAGUUAUAGAAGUUUAAAGUUUGGAUUCGGCCAAUGUAAGGAUUGACUUUUGGAGGGGAAAAAAAGGCUAUGGAACAAAAUCUUUUCUUUCACUUGGGAAGUUCCAGCCUUUCAGGUUAUUUCGCGGUUGAGUGGUCAGUCAUCUGAUUGUACUACUUCCAGCGUCUGGCAACUCCAUAUCCAGAAUUUGUCUAAGCACUCCAAAGAAAGGUGAGGAGGAGCAAUCGGACUUGAAAAUAAGCCUUAGAUCUUUUCCAUAUUGAUGAGAGCUCUUUAAGGGCCUUUGUUUCAUUCUGGGUUUUGGACCUUAGUUUCUUUAAUCUGUUCUCCAGAUGGUAGAAUCUUCUACAUUUAUAUACAAGAUUUAAGCAUAACUUGAGUGGACAAGAGAAAGAUAGCCUUUACUGAAAUGCUAAGGAGGGUAGAAGAAGGUUGCAUUGUCUCGAUAUUGAAUUACCAUCAGAAGCGUACUCUUGUGAAUGUAAAGCUAAAAUGGGUUAAAGAUAGUGUCUUGGACAGUGUAGUAGCUGGAGGCAGAGAACUAAAGGCGGGAUCUACACUAGUUUCCAUCAUUGCCUCACAAUCCAGUUCUGGUCUUCCUAUUUACCAUCUCACAACCAAGCGUGGGCAGCUUGGGCUCCCUCAUGAAUUGAAAAUCUCCACUUUCCUUAGGCGAUACCCAAAUAUUUUUGAGGAAUUUUCUUGUCGUGAUAGUGCUGGCACUCCUGUUCCGUGGUUCAAAUUAACUCCUGAGACCCUAGAGUUUCAUCAUGAAGAAGUUAAUGUUCUCCGCGAGUGCAGCACGGAUAUUGUUAGUAGGCUGAGAAAGCUUUUGAUGAUGACCAAGGAGAGGAUGCUUCCUCUUCAGACAGUUGAUCAACUAAAAUGGGAUUUAGGCUUGCCACAUGAUUGUGGUAGUUCAUUGGUUAUAAAACAUCCUGAGCUGUUUAAUUUGGUGGACCUUCCCGAUGGUCGUGUUGGUCUUAAGCUUUUAGCAUGGGAUCACAAAUUAGCUGUUUCCCAUUUGGAGGCAAAUUCUACAAGGGGAAAUGGGACCUUGAUGUUUCCUAUUGGAUUCACCCGGGGUUUCGGGUUAAAGAGAAAAUGCAUGGAAUGGUUGGAGGAAUGGCAAAAGCUGCCUUAUACUUCUCCUUAUGUGGAUGCCUCUCAUUUGGACCCAAGGACAGAUGUGUCAGAGAAGAGAAUUGUUGGAGUGUUUAACGAGCUUCUGCACCUCAUCUUACAAAAGAAAACAGAGAGGAGAAACGUUAGCAAUCUCCGCAAGCCAUUUGAAUUGCCUCAGAAGUUCACAAAGGUCUUUGAGCGGCAUCCUGGGAUUUUUUACAUUUCUAUGAAGGGUGACACUCAGACUGUCGUCCUUAGAGAGGCUUAUAAUCGCGAUCAACUGAUUGAGAAGCAUCCCCUUGUUCACAUAAGGGAGAAAUUUGCGAACAUGAUGAAGCAAGGUUUUCUAGAUCGUAGUAGGGGGUUAUAUAGAGAUACUAACCAAGGCGUAGAAGAGGAGUCACUGACAAGUAGUUUUGUUGGUGAAACCUGUGGAACUAGAUAUAACUCUGGUAUAGUCUCAGAUUCUGAUAUGCUUUUAGAACAUGAAGCAAAGUAGAUUAAGGUCCUUCAAGAAUUUAAUGUUAUAAGCUGAGAUGUGAUUGGCACACUAUUUGAAGUUCUCAGAAACCUGUGGAACUGUAUUGGAUAUGCUUUCAGAAUACGAAUAGAUCAGAUAGAGGUCUUUUAAGUUCUGUAAUUACAAGCUGAGAUGUGAUUACGUGUAACUUUGCGAUUCUCAUUUUCUGAUCUGAAUUUGCGAAGAAGUUCUUUAUAAUGUUGAGGAAGUUCUCCCUAGUCUUGCUUAUGAUAUGGUCCUCAUCUUAGUUACUCAGAACAGGUCAAAGAAGACAGCCAUUUUUAGAUCAAGAUGAAAGAAAAUUAACAAAUGCAAUUGAAAGUUGAGGUGAGAGUGUGGAUUACUCCCUUCAUGAGCAUCGUUUCAGAGAACCACCUGUGGAGUGCCCUUGGGUGUGUCUCAAAGAUAUGUUUGACAGUCUUUUGUUCUCUAAGAAGAAUUCAGCUGGAACUCUUGCAGCGACUGACUCGGUGGUGUCAUAAUAUAAUGGUCUCAUGAAUGAAUCUGGGCACAUGUGGAAAAAGAAACUUUUAAGAUGUCCCUGAAAUGGACACCAUAAAAUUUAGAAUGUUUGAGACACAAAAUUAUUUUGGAAACCAAAAUGAAAUACCGCCUGUCUCAAUUUAUGUGAUGCACUAUCGUUUUUAGUUUGUUACAAAAGGAAUGAUACAUUUUUAUAUUUAGACAAAAGUUUCUAAAGUCUUUCCUUCUUAGACAAUUGAAGUGCUCUACAAAUAGUGUACCCUACACUUAUUAAAGUGUAAUAGCAGUGUUGGAAAAACUACUUAUCUAAAAGUUACUGCACUCCCAUACAAGGCCUUAAACUGA